rnacentral:rRNA from 1 species
GACGAACGCUGGCGGCGUGCUUAACACAUGCAAGUCGAACGCUGAAGCUUGGUGCUUGCACUGGGUGGAUGAGUGGCGCACGGGUGAGUAAUACGUGAGUAACCUGCCCUUGACUCUGGGAUAAGCCUAGGAAACUGGGUCUAAUACUGGAUACGACAUGUCACCGCAUGGUGGUGUGUGGAAAGGGUUUGGCUGGUUUUGGAGGGGCGCACGGCCUAUCCGCUUGUUGGUGGGGUAAUGGCCCACCAAGGCGACGAGGGGUAGCCGGCCGGAGGGGGGGACCGGCCGCACGGGGGGGGGGAGGCGGCCGAGAGGCGGACGGGGGGGGGCAGGGGGGAGGAUUGCACAGUGGGCGGGAGCCGGAGGCAGGGGGGCGGGGUGGGGGAUGACGGCGGCCGGGUUGUAAGCCGGUUUCAGCACGGGGGAGGCGAAAGGGAGGGUACGGGCAGAAGAGGCGCGGGCUAACUACGU